ACAUGGCUCAGAACGAACGCUGGCGGCAUGCCUAACACAUGCAAGUCGAACGAGACCUUCGGGUCUAGUGGCGCACGGGUGCGUAACGCGUGGGAAUCUGCCUCUUGGUUCGGAAUAACAGUUAGAAAUGACUGCUAAUACCGGAUGAUGACUUCGGUCCAAAGAUUUAUCGCCAAGAGAUGAGCCCGCGUAGGAUUAGCUAGUUGGUGGGGUAAAGGCCUACCAAGGCGACGAUCCUUAGCUGGUCUGAGAGGAUGAUCAGCCACACUGGGACUGAGACACGGCCCAGACUCCUACGGGAGGCAGCAGUGGGGAAUAUUGGACAAUGGGCGAAAGCCUGAUCCAGCAAUGCCGCGUGAGUGAUGAAGGCCUUAGGGUCGUAAAGCUCUUUUACCAGGGAUGAUAAUGACAGUACCNGAGAAUAAGNCCGGCUAANCCG
rnacentral:rRNA from 1 species